GCCGCGUUAGCUCAGUCGGUAGAGCGCUGGCCUUUUAAGCCAGUGGUCAUGGGUUCGAGUCCCAUACGCGGCGACA
rnacentral:tRNA from 1 species